rnacentral:rRNA from 1 species
CCUACGGGUGGCAGCAGUGGGGAAUAUUGCGCAAUGGGCGAAAGCCUGACGCAGCGACGCCGCGUGAGGGAUGAAGGUCUUCGGAUCGUAAACCUCUGUCAGCAGGGAAGAACGGUCACUGUGCUAAUCAGCCGCGAAUUGACGGUACCUGCAAAGGAAGCACCGGCUAACUACGUGCCAGCAGCCGCGGUAAUACGGAGGGUGCGAGCGUUAACCGGAAUUAAUGGGCGUAAAGCGCUCGUAGGCGGUAUGUCAAGUCUAGGGUGAAAUCCCCGGGCUCAACGUGGGAACUGCCUUUGAAACUGGCAAACUGGAGUGAGUGAGAGGAUAGUGGAAUUCCAGGUGUAGGAGUGAAAUCCGUAGAUAUCUGGAGGAACAUCAGUGGCGAAGGCGACUAUCUGGCACAUAACUGACGCUGAGGAGCGAAAGCGUGGGUAGCAAACAGGAUUAGAUACCCCGGUAGUC